GACGAACGCUGGCGGCGUGCUUAACACAUGCAAGUCGAACGGAAAGGCCCUGCUUUUGUGGGGUGCUCGAGUGGCGAACGGGUGAGUAACACGUGAGUAACCUGCCCUUGACUUUGGGAUAACUUCAGGAAACUGGGGCUAAUACCGGAUAGGAGCUCCUGCUGCAUGGUGGGGGUUGGAAAGUUUCGGCGGUUGGGGAUGGACUCGCGGCUUAUCAGCUUGUUGGUGGGGUAGUGGCUUACCAAGGCUUUGACGGGUAGCCGGCCUGAGAGGGUGACCGGCCACAUUGGGACUGAGAUACGGCCCAGAAGCCUACGGGAGGCAGCAGUGGGGAAUAUUGCACAAUGGGCGGAAGCCUGAUGCGGCAACGCCGCGUGCGGGAUGACGGCCUUCGGGUUGUAAACCGCUUUCGCCUGUGACGAAGCGUGAGUGACGGUAAUGGGUAAAGAAGCACCGGCUAACUACGUG
rnacentral:rRNA from 1 species